AGCAGCCGCGGUAAUUCCAGCUCCAAUAGCGUAUAUUAAAGUUGUUGCAGUUAAAAAGCUCGUAGUUGAAUUUCGGAAUCUGUCCGUCGGUCGGGCUUCACUGUCCGUACUGGCGUGGUGGGUUCUUACCUUCUGAAUAACCAGCAUGCCAUUCACUUGGUGCGUUGGGGAAGCAGGACUAUUACCUUGAAAAAUUAGAGUGCUCAAAGCAGGCUAGUGCCUGAAUACAUUAGCAUGGAAUAAUAAAAUAGGACGGCAUGGUUCUAUUUUGUUGGUUUCUAGGAUCACCGUAAUGAUUAAUAGGGAUAGUUGGGGGCAUUAGUAUUCAAUUGUCAGAGGUGAAAUUCUUGGAUUUAUUGAAGACUAACUUCUGCGAAAGCAUUUGCCAAGGAUGUUUUCAUUAAUCAAGAACGAAAGUUAGGGGAUCGAAGACGAUCAGAUACCGUCGUA
rnacentral:rRNA from 1 species